rnacentral:rRNA from 1 species
UACCUGGUGGAUCCUGCCAGUAGUUAUAUGCUUGUCUCAAAGAUUAAGCCAUGCAUGUCUAAGUACUAGCCAAAUUAUAAAAAUGGUGAAACCGCGAAAGGCUCAUUAAAUCGGCUUUGGUUCCUUAGAUAGUAUGCAGAUCCGAAUAUUUUUUCAAAAAUGUUUUGAAAAAAAAUGAAAAUCUGAAAUGGAUAACUGUGGUAAUUCUAGAGCUAAUACAUGAAAAAUGAAUUGAGUGCGAAACUUUUGUCAAAAGAAGUUUUGCACGCUUUUAUUAGAGGAAAAAGCCAAUUUUUAAGACGAAAAAAAAAUUAUUUUUUUUUCCGAACUUAAACUAAAUUUAAACUGGUGUUGAAUCUGAAUAACUUGAAUGAAUUUCUUUCGAAAGAAUUUAUUUGUAUAAGUUUUCUCCUUUAUGUUUUUUAUAAGCGUAAGGCGUGUGAAAUUUUUAAGAGUAAAUUUGACUAGAAAGAAAUUUAAAGCAGACCGCAGUAAAAAACUUUUCUUUUCCACACAACAAGUUCGAUCUUGUUUGGCGAAAUGAAAUAGUAAUGCGGCGUAUCUUUCAAUUGUCUGCCUUAUCAACUGUCGAUGGUAGAUUACAUGUCUACCAUGGUUGUAACGGGUAACGGGGAAUCAGGGUUCGAUUCCGGAGAGGGAGCCUGAGAAACGGCUACCACAUCUAAGGAAGGCAGCAGGCACGCAAAUUACCCACUCCCGGCACGGGGAGGUAGUGACAAUAAAUAACGAUCCGAAACUCUAAUGAGUUUCCGUAAUCGGAAUGAGUACAAUUUAAAUCCUUUAACGAGGAACAAAUGGAGGGCAAGUCUGGUGCCAGCAGCCGCGGUAAUUCCAGCUCCAUUAGCAUAUAUUAAAGUUGUUGCGUUUAAAAAGCUCGUAGUUGAAUCUGUAUCUCAUACUGUCAAUCGCUCGUAAUUUAAUUUAUCGUAGUUUGAUUUGACAUUGUGUAUGAGAUAUAAAUGCUGGUGGAUUUUUCCUAAUCGAUAUCGUUUGAAAAUGUGUGGAAAAAAAAGUUCUACCUUUGUUCAAAUAUUAUUUCUUUGCAAAUAUGUUUGAGACAAUGGGUUUUUUUUUCCCCCGUUUUCUGUUUAUCGAUUUUAAAAUCCGAUACAAUUGUUUUUGAAUAUUAAAGAAGAAAUCCAAUUUCUCUUUGAAAAACAGUUACAAAAAAUUUUGUAAUUUUUUGUGUUGUUUUUCAUUUCAAAUGGGAAAUUAUUUCUUUUUUUCAAAUUCAAUUGUAUUCUGAUAAAAAUUUUUUUUCAAAAUUUUUAUAAGACCAGUAAAAUUACUUUGAACAAAUUAGAGUGCUUAAUGCAGGCAAAUUUAUAUGCCAUGAAUAAAACAGCAUGGAAUAAUAGAAUAUGAUCUCGAUACUGUUUUUUUGUAAAAUGAAUUAUUCUUUUUUCUUUGUGUGUUCGUUUUGAAACUUUCUCUAUUUCAACGUUCCGAAAAAGAAAUAAUUUAAGAAAUUGGCUUAAAGAAAUAAAUAGUUAUGUUUAGAAUUGUUGCAUUUUUAAAAUUCGUCAAAGUGAAAAGAGGAUCGUAAUUGAUUCUCUGUAAGAGAAUUAAAAAUGAAAUUGAAAAAUUUCUUUUUUUUUCUCGAACUUUGUCGAAUGUGUAAACAAUUUUACGUAUUUAUUUCGACAGUAUGUCGAGAUAAUGAUCAAUAGAGACGGAUGGGGGCAUUCGUACUACGACGCUAGAGGUGAAAUUCUUGGACCGUCGUAAGACGAACUGAAGCGAAAGCGUUUGUCAAAAACGUUUUCAUUGAUCAAGAACGAAAGCUAGAGGUUCGAAGGCGAUCAGAUACCGCCCUAGUUCUAACCAUAAACGAUGCCGACCAGCGAUCCGUCGAUGUUCAUUUAAUUUGACUCGACGGGCAGCUUCCGGGAAACCAAAGUUUUUGGGUUCCGGGGGAAGUAUGGUUGCAAAGCUGAAACUUAAAGGAAUUGACGGAAGGGCACCACCAGGAGUGGAGCUUGCGGCUUAAUUUGACUCAACACGGGAAAUCUCACCAGGCCCAGACACCGAAAGGAUUGACAGAUUAAUAGCUCUUUCUUGAUUCGGUGGGUGGUGGUGCAUGGCCGUUCUUAGUUGGUGGAGCGAUUUGUCUGGUUAAUUCCGAUAACGAACGAGACUCUAGCCUACUAACUAGACGUUAAACGUAUCGCUAAAUGGUUCAUGGGUUGUUGAUUUUUUAUUUUUGAUUUUUUCACUCUGUAUAUACAUGACCUUUUGUGUACUGUUUGUGUGUUGUGGGUGCGCGCGUGUCUGUGUGCGUCUGUGUACUUGUGCAAUUCACACACUUGCUGUGUGUUUUGUUACACUGUUUCGUCGCACAUGGGCACCAACACGCACACACACAUACAUUUAAAUAGUAUAUUUUAAGGUUGUGUGUUUAUGUGUGAAAACGGAUCGUUAAAAAAUUUAACAAUUCUGUUGUUUAGUCGAUCGUUUUAUCCGAUAUUUUGAAGCUGUUCAAAUGAUUUUUUUUUUCAUAAAAUUUUUCGUUGUCGUGUGUUACUCUCUCGUUUUUGUUUUUUUUCGAUUUUUUCUCUCAGAGAGGUGAAAUUUUGUUUUGUCCUCUUUGUUUGAGAAAAUCGACUAAAAUAUGCGUGAGAGUAUAUAUAUACACGUUCGGCGGGACGAUUUUGUGUUGAGAAAAUUCUUUUGCUUUCGCUAUCGGCGUAUUUUAAAACCUCUUCUUAGAGGGACAGGUGGAUUUAUAAGCCACACGAGAAGGAGCAAUAACAGGUCUGUGAUGCCCUUAGAUGUUCUGGGCCGCACGCGUGCUACACUGAAAAAAUCAACGUGUUUAUGUAAAAUUUUCUUUUCCGAUAGGAAUGGAUAAACCGUUGAAAAUUUUUCGUGAUAGGAAUCGGAGAUUGAAAUUAUUCUCCGUGAACGAGGAAUUCCCAGUAAGCGUGAGUCAUAAGCUCGCGUUGAUUACGUCCCUGCCCUUUGUACACACCGCCCGUCGCUACUACCGAUUGAAUGAUUUAGUGAGGUCUUCGGACUGUCACACGCUUAGCAUUUCGAUGCUAUCGUUGUUGAUAGAAAGAUGACCAAACUUGAUCAUUUAGAGGAAGUAAAAGUCGUAACAAGGUUUCCGUAGGUGAACCUGCAGAAGGAUCAUUA